rnacentral:lncRNA from 1 species
CACGAACUUGGUUCUAGAAUAUUUUUGGUCCCUCAUCUGAGAAUGGUCAACUUCAGCUUCAACGGUGGUUCUUGAACUUUGGCGUCUCAAACAUUUCCAUUUUGUUGUUGUUGUGUUAUAUUUUUUAGCAUGAACUUCCUCCCAGCUUCUGUCAGUCCGUCAGUCAACAACACUGCUGAAUAUAUUGUGAAUUGCACAUUCCUUUCUAGUUCCAGUCUUGCUAAAACAUCAUUUUCCCCCAUCUUUGAUGGCUAAAGCGGUCACCUUCUUCAGAGUCAUAAAUGUAUUUAUUGCUUUUACAUGACUGACUACCACUAUUUUUCUCUCUUCCAUGCUAGAAAAUAGUACUAAAAUCAUCCUAGACUUUCCAGGUCAAAAUGUAUUGGGUAAGAAAAUGCUCCUAAAUGAAGAAUAAAAUUACAAAAGCAAUGUACUGAACCCUCAAUUUAUGCCUUAAUGAUGUUCUGAAGGGAGAUCAAUUAAAAAUCCCGAAGUAAACAAAUGAAUACAACUAUCCAUUAAUCAACCAAGUACUGCAAACAGAGGAUAAUGCAUAUGAAACUUCCCACACUUGUCCCUAUCAAUGUUCCCUUGCAUAUCUUGAGGAGUCCUAUGUUAACGUCGAGUUCUAUGAGCCUUGUUUAACAAGAAUGUGCUCAAUAUCAUG